rnacentral:rRNA from 1 species
GACGAACGCUGGCGGCGUGCUUAACACAUGCAAGUCGAACGGAAAGGCCCUGCUUUUGUGGGGUGCUCGAGUGGCGAACGGGUGAGUAACACGUGAGCAACCUGCCCUUGACUUUGGGAUAACUUCAGGAAACUGGGGCUAAUACCGGAUAGGAGCUCCUGCUGCAUGGUGGGGGUUGGAAAGUUUCGGCGGUUGGGGAUGGACUCGCGGCUUAUCAGCUUGUUUGUGGGGUAGUGGCUUACCAAGGCUUUGACGGGUAGCCGGCCUGAGAGGGUGACCGGCCACAUUGGGACUGAGAGACGGCCCAGACUCCAACGGGAGGCAGCAGGGGGGAAUAUUGCAGAAUGGGAGGAAGCCUGAUGAAGCAACGCCGCGUGCGGGAUGACGGCCUUCGGGUUGUAAACAGCUUUCGCCUGUGACGAAGCGUGAGUGACGGUAAUGGGUAAAGAAGCACCGGCUAACUACGUG